AACGAACGCUGGCGGCAGGCUUAACACAUGCAAGUCGAACGCCCCGCAAGGGGAGUGGCAGACGGGUGAGUAACGCGUGGGAAUCUACCUAGUUCUACGGAACAACAGUUGGAAACGACUGCUAAUACCGUAUACGCCCUAUGGGGGAAAGAUUUAUCGGAAUUAGAUGAGCCCGCGUAAGAUUAGCUAGUUGGUGGGGUAAUGGCCUACCAAGGCGACGAUCUUUAGCUGGUCUGAGAGGAUGAUCAGCCACACUGGGACUGAGACACGGCCCAGACUCCUACGGGAGGCAGCAGUGGGGAAUAUUGGACAAUGGGCGCAAGCCUGAUCCAGCCAUGCCGCGUGAGUGAUGAAGGCCUUCGGGUUGUAAAGCUCUUUAGCCGACGAAUAUAAUGACUGUAGUCGGAGAAUAAGCCCCGGCUAACUUCGUGCCAGCCGCCGCCGUAAAAC
rnacentral:rRNA from 1 species